CCGAACCCAACCCGUUUCACCCGUUAACCUUUUUUUUUCCCACGAAUAAGUUGCUUUGACAGCAUAAAUGUAAGCCAAUCCACAACUUCCCUUCUUGACCUCCUUUUAAAGUUGGCACUAUUGGAGCUCUCGAUUCCGUGCACUUGCAAAAACUCCUCAGAAACAACAUAGAACAUGUGCCUAACACUCCUUUCAGUACCCACAACUGCAAGAAUGGAUUCUCCAGAAGAAUGCUUCAAGAAAUAGUGAACCACACGGUUGCCCAUCUCUUGCGAAACAAAGUGCUCUUUCCACUCCACGAAAAAGUGACCAUUUCCAGGCAUUUUGACCGAGCGCACAAAGAGGGCUUAACGAAACACCAGAACUAACGGGUCUUAACGAAUGGUUAACGGGUUUCGCGAGUUCACC
rnacentral:lncRNA from 1 species